rnacentral:rRNA from 1 species
GACGUAGGAGGCGAGCGUUGUCCGGAUUCAUUGGGCGUAAAGAGCGCGCAGGCGGCUUGGUAAGUCGGGAUGUGAAAACCCGAGGCUCAACCUCGGGCGUGCAUCCGAAACUGCUCGGCUAGAGGUAGGUAGGGGAGAUCGGAAUUCCUGGUGUAGCGGUGAAAUGCGCAGAUAUCAGGAGGAACACCGGUGGCGAAGGCGGAUCUCUGGGCCUUACCUGACGCUCAGGCGCGAAAGCUAGGGGAGCGAACUGG